CCUGGCUCAGGAUGAACGCUAGCGGCAGGCCUAACACAUGCAAGUCGAGGGAUAAGCCUUCGGGCUGAAACCGGCGCACGGGUGCGUAACGCGUAUACAAUCUGCCUUUCACAUAGGGAUAGCCCGGAGAAAUUUGGAUUAAUACCUAAUGGUAUAUAGGAGUGGCAUCAUUUUUAUAUUAAAGCUUUGGUGGUGAAAGAUGAGUAUGCGUUCUAUUAGCUAGUUGGAGAGGUAACGGCUCCCCAAGGCGACGAUAGAUAGGGGUUCUGAGAGGGAUGUCCCCCACACUGGGACUGAGACACGGCCCAGACUCCUACGG
rnacentral:rRNA from 1 species